rnacentral:lncRNA from 1 species
UUUCAAACUCGAUCGUCUCCAUUGAUCAUUCUGUACAUUUUGCAGCACUUGCUAACUGACUUCCAUCUGCUACUGAAACCACCGCGGCCUUAGCUAGUAGGCUCUUGUGCACAGCCUAGUUGCAACAUGUGGAUCAAUGAAAAUUGUGGAUGCUACCCCCAUUGACGAGUAUAGUGAAAAAUUGUCUCUUCACUCAUCCUACCACGUACCCUUAUGGUAUUAUUCUUUUGAUUUCCCAUGAGUGCAUUAACAGAGAUCUCCAUUUCUGUCUUGUCCCCUUCCAACAACUCAUUGUAUUCCUCUAGGUCUUGAUAAAAUAUUAGUUGCCCAUUAAUUAUACUCUAUGCAUUUCUUCAUCUCCUACCAACAUAAAAUUUUGAGGAUUAAUUCUUGCAUGUAUGCCCUAAAC